GUGGCACACUGGUUAAGUGCUCAGCUGUUAACUGAAAGGUUGGUGGUUCAAACCCACCC
rnacentral:tRNA from 1 species